GACCAGACUCCUACGGGAGGCAGCAGUGGGGGAUAUUGCACAAUGGGGGGAACCCUGAUGCAGCGACGCCGCGUGGGUGAAGAAGCGCCUCGGCGCGUAAAGCCCUGUCAGCAGGGAAGAAGAUGACGGUACCUGACCAAGAAGCUCCGGCUAAAUACGUGCCAGCAGCCGCGGUAAUACGUAUGGAGCAAGCGUUAUCCGGAUUUACUGGGUGUAAAGGGAGCGCAGGCGGCCUUGCAAGUCUGAUGUGAAAGGCCGGGGCCCAACCCCGGGACUGCAUUGGAAACUGCGAGGCUGGAGUGUCGGAGAGGCAGGCGGAAUUCCUAGUGUAGCGGUGAAAUGCGUAGAUAUUAGGAGGAACACCAGUGGCGAAGGCGGCCUGCUGGACGAUGACUGACGCUGAGGCACGAAAGCGUGGGGAGCGAACAGGAUUAGAUACCCCUGUA
rnacentral:rRNA from 1 species